rnacentral:rRNA from 1 species
CCCAGACUCCUACGGGAGGCAGCAGUGGGGGAUAUUGCACAAUGGGGGGAACCCUGAUGCAGCGACGCCGCGUGGGCGAAGAAGUAUUUCGGUAUGUAAAGCCCUAUCGGCAGGGAAGAAAUUGGACGGUACCUGACUAAGAAGCCCUGGCUAACUACGUGCCAGCAGCCGCGGUAAUACGUAGGGGGCAAGCGUUAUCCGGAUUCACUGGGUGUAAAGGGAGCGUAGACGGCCAUGCAAGCCUGGAGUGAAAGCCCGGGGCCCAACCCCGGGACUGCUCUGGGAACUGUGCGGCUGGAGUGCGGGAGGGGCAGGCGGAAUUCCUGAUGUAGCGGUGAAAUGCGUAGAUAUCAGGAGGAACACCGGCGGCGAAGGCGGCCUGCUGGACCGCGACUGACGUUGAGGCUCGAAAGCGUGGGGAGCAAACAGGAUUAGAUACCCGGGUACCG